AAGAAUGCUUAGAGAUAAACUUAUAUAUUAUUCACCAACAAGAUCUUUACAUCGGUAGGGAACCCAAGAGUCCUUUUGGAUAUAUGAUGGUUCCUCUCCAAUUGGAUCAACGUUAUUUGUCCAUUCAUUGUUAGUAUAAAAUUAACUAAUGAAUUAUCCCAAAAUGCAAAAAGAAAGAAUAUAAUAAAGUUGAAAUCGGGUAGUCGAUCGACACAUAAGCAUGAACAUUCUCUAUCAUCAUGUUAUAUCAGUCUGAAUAUUCUCUCUUACAAAAUCACAUCUUUCAAUCUUUUUGAUUAAAUUCCUUACAAUGUUUCUUUUAUUAAUCUCUUGCCAUAUUGCCACGCUUAGUGGAACAAGGCAAAGAAAGACAAGACUGAGGCACCAACCAAGGAGCCAAUAAGGGGCAAGCUAGCUGAAGCUCCACUGCUUGGGCCGGGGGCAGGGGCUGGAACCUCAGUGGCAGCCACCACAGCGCUCACGGAGGCGGCGGCGAUGAGAACAGCACAAGUGACCUUCUUCAUGUCCAUGAUGAAUAAAAUGUGACUUGUUUAGGAGACCUGCGGGUGUGCUGAUGAAACAACUGUGUGUUUAGUUUUAUUGUUUCAAUUUGCAAGCUAGCAGGUCUGAGCUACAAUGGGGGAUUUUGAUGGGCUUUAUAAGUCAGCAUUUGAGUUAUUUUGGGAAAACAACACCUUAUAUUUAGUUUGUAAAUUGGUCGUAAAAGUGUAUGGUCUUGCAUGGUUUCAG
rnacentral:lncRNA from 1 species